AGAUAUCGCAUAGACUAUUUCAAUUAAAGCUUUGGCGGUUGAAGAUUGUCGUGCGUCUGAUUAGCUAGUUGGUGAGGUAACGGCUCACCAAGGCGACGAUCAGUAGCUGGUCUGAGAGGAUGAUCAGCCACACUGGAACUGAGACACGGUCCAGACUCCUACGGGAGGCAGCAGUACGGGAAUAUUUGGACAAUGGGCGGAAGCCUGAUCCAGCCAUCCCGCGUGUAGGAAUAACGGCCCUAUGGGUUGUAAACUACUUUUAUUAGGGAAGAAAAACUUUGAUUUAUCAGAGCUUGACGGUACCUAAGGAAUAAGCACCGGCUAACUCCGUG
rnacentral:rRNA from 1 species